rnacentral:lncRNA from 1 species
AGUAAAUAGCUGUAUUUUAUCAUUUUUUUGCAGAUAGAUCAGAAUGAUGCUAAUACUUGUUAGUUCUUUCUCUACGUGUUUUAUAGUGGGAAGAACUUCAGAGUCAAGUUUACAUGGGUUCAAAUCCUGGCUCCACUCCGUUGACUCACAUAGUGACAUAGCACCUUUCUGCGAGGCGUCCGGAAAACAUACAGUCCUCCAGUGAAGAUGACUCAGCCGUGCCAGGUCUCCUGGGGAGGAAUUCCUUCAAAAUCACUGGCUUUGAGGGAUGAUUAAGGACACGAUAGCAUGAAGAGUCAAGUGUCAUCUAAAGGUUAGGCUGAAGACUGUGAUAUUUUUAGAAUCAGAUAUAAUCUCAGAAUAGAGAAUAGGAA